rnacentral:rRNA from 1 species
AGAUUGAACGCUGGCGGCAUGCCUAACACAUGCAAGUCGAACGGGAGUAGCAAUACUCUAGUGGCGGACGGGUGAGGAAUACGUAGGAAUUUGCCCUUAAGUGGGGGAUAACCCGGGGAAACCCGGAUUAAUACCGCAUGACCUCGAAAGAGCAAAGUGGGGGAUCGCAAGACCUCACGCUUUUGGAGAAGCCUACGUCGGAUUAGCUAGUUGGUGAGGUAAUGGCUCACCAAGGCGACGAUCCGUAACUGGUCUGAGAGGAUGAUCAGUCACACCGGAACUGAGACACGGUCCGGACUCCUACGGGAGGCAGCAGUGGGGAAUAUUGGACAAUGGGCGCAAGCCUGAUCCAGCAAUGCCGCGUGUGUGAAGAAGGCCUUCGGGUUGUAAAGCACUUUAAGUUGGAAGAAAAACUCGACUACUAACACAAGUGAGUCUUGACGGUACCGACAGAAUAAGCACCGGACUAACUCUGUGCCAGCAGCCGC